rnacentral:rRNA from 1 species
UACAGAGGUCCCAAGCGUUGUUCGGAUUCACUGGGCGUAAAGGGUGCGUAGGCGGUCGGGUAAGUCUGGCGUGAAAUCUCCAAGCCUAACUUGGAAACUGCGUUGGAUACUAUCCGGCUCGAGGAAUGGAGGGGAGACUGGAAUACUUGGUGUAGCAGUGAAAUGCGUAGAUAUCAAGUGGAACACCAGUGGCGAAGGCGAGUCUCUGGACAUUUCCUGACGCUAAGACACGAAAGCCAGGGGAGCAAACGGG